UCUAGUCUCCCAUUUGUUCUGCUUUCUAACCUCCCAAAUUUCCUUUCUGCUGUCCUCUGAAGAUCUGUUGGUUAUUUUCUUAUAGCUUUACCUUACAUUUCCCUACCUACUUAAAAAAAUGCUAAUUUGCCAAUCCAGCCAGAAAUUCCACUGGCCUAAAGCAAAUCAUGUCAAAAAGGAAGACAAAUGUUAAAAGUUUUAAAAUUCGUGGGUGCAAGCUAUUCCAGAGGGGAUUUCUAGAACUAAGUGCUGCAAGAAGAGGAAAGAGAUUUCACUUUUCCCUGUCUCCUACCCCCACUAAUAGAAAAUGGCUACCAGUAAGAAAAAUAUAUGAGAAGCUUCCUGUGCUUACCCAGAUUCUGAAAGGGGAAUGGAUAUCCAGAGCUGGAAAUGAUGAGGUGAUGACCUUGUGAGCUUUGACAGGUCAAAGGGUCUUCAGAGGUCCUAUCAACAACAGGGGUCAGUAGCAGAGACCAGCAGCAGAAGGAUGAACAACCUGCUUGACCCAGCCUAGCGUGGACUGACCUGUCAGCAGAGCCAGCCCAAUCCACCAAAACAAUUUGUCCAUUGUGAUGUCGCAUGGAGUGAGUUUCUGGAGCUUCUGCAAAGUGAGAAAAGCAUUCCAGGGCCUGAGGCAGGACUGCUGGGCUUUAUGUUAUCCAUGUAUAUUGCCUCAUAAGCCAGUGAGCCUCUCCCUAAUCCAGUCUGGCUACUGACUCCUGGGUUUCCCUUAAAUCCUAAAUAAAAUCCCACCUUCUACAGGAAGCUCUUCUAAGCCUUCUAAAUUCUA